rnacentral:rRNA from 1 species
UACGUAGGGUGCGAGCGUUGUCCGGAAUUAUUGGGCGUAAAGAGCUCGUAGGCGGUUUGUCGCGUCGAUCGUGAAAACUUGGGGCUUAACUCCAAGCUUGCGGUCGAUACGGGCAGACUUGAGUUCGGCAGGGGAGACUGGAAUUCCUGGUGUAGCGGUGAAAUGCGCAGAUAUCAGGAGGAACACCGGUGGCGAAGGCGGGUCUCUGGGCCGACACUGACGCUGAGGAGCGAAAGCGUGGGGAGCGAACAGG